UAGACAUUGUAGGGCCAUUACCGGUUUGC
rnacentral:piRNA from 1 species